AUUAGGAUUAGGGUUAGGGUUAGGGUUAGGGUUAGGGUUUAGGGUUAGGGUUAGGGUUUAGGGGUUGGGGUUGGGGUUAGGGAUUAUUUAAAAAAAUUAUUUUUCCGCAAGUUAAGACGUCGAGGGUUUUUCCGAUGAUAAAAACCCUGUUGUUUCCACCGAAAAACCUUUCAGGGGAGCAUUUGCAACAGUUUGGCAGCAUUUUUGAGUGAAAUGCAGAACGUCAGAUUUUGGGUGAAAUUGUGACCAGCAGAAGCACAGCAGCUUAGGUCAGCUCCUUCUCACACGGAGCCAGGCACCAAUGAGGGAGCCUGCUGUGGGGUUACCUGUUUGUGCCCCCUGACACAAUUGUGCCCAGGGCCCACGGGGCCACAUUUGUGCCCCCAACAGCCCACACAUGCUACACUUCUGGGUGGGGACAAAACCAGAAUUACUGUAGUUGGCUCCAUCCAUGGGCAUAGCCAGGAUUUUUGUUAGUGGGGGCAGGCCUUUUGUUGGUGGGUGCAGAACGUCAGUUAGCUAUGUAUUUUUAUUUAUUUUUAUUUAUUUGGCCCCCCCUUGGCUACACCCAUGGUUCCAUCUAUCAUAACAUUUUGGAAAUGCCCUGACCCACCCACCCCAACACUGAUGUUGAUUUUCUGAGAUAUCAGGCGCUCAAGCACAAGUCAUACAUAAAGAAUCGCUGCUGUUUCUUUUUGUGUAGCCUGUUUAGACUGGAAAUUUGCCUCAGUUUUUUAUUCUCUAAGGAAGGUUCUGUAAAGUGCAGGAUAAUGUAGUAGCUCACAGCAUGACAGGAUGAUCCCAAGAAGCUCAGUUAGUUGGGGACAUGGGCAUAGCCAGGGGGUGAAGCAGCCACCCCUAAAUCAAGUAAAUAAACAAAAAUACAGAGAGUCUGAUAUUCCAGAUGUAAUCACACUUCUUCCUUAGAGCAGCCUCCUAUUCAUUUAUUUCUUGUUGAAAGAUUGUUGAAAGAAGUGUUUUGCAGAAACUAGCAACAACUUUAUAUAUCAAGAAGACACAUGUAGUUCAUAGUAACUGUCUUUCAGGGCAGUUUGUCUAGUAACAAAAGCAACUGUUGCUAUGAACACUGACUAGUCACUAGAAUAAUAAGAUGAAAGCUGGAGGUGGGGUUCGGGGUGGGGUUAGUCUUUCUUUAAACAAACAUGUAAGUAUGGAUGCCAAGAAGAAGAAGAAGUAAGACAAGCGUUUCUGUGGGGGAGGGAGUUUAUUGACUGCUCAGAUAUAAGACUCACAACAUCAUUUUAUAACCAAAGAAAGUGCCUUUAUGUGACCAUUAAAACAAAUCAACUGGAAUUACCGGUAUAUUCACAGAAAGCCUUUAGCAGAAUCAUUUCCUGUCCUCGGAAUCCAGCUGGAAGUGUUGGGUGAGCCGACUGCAUAAUCAAAAAGGCCAGUAAGUUACUGUGAGACAUACAGAGGAAGCUGUGUUCCUUUUCAAAUCUGUCUGUCAACAGUCACACACACCAAGCAAAAGCCACCCAUAACAGACGUUUUCCUUGAUAAAUGGGAGAACUGUCUGAUAAUCAACAACCAUAUAAUUUUAUCCAGUAGUAUUAGUUUGAUCUGACAGAAACUGCACAUUUCCCGAGAAGCACUGAAAGAAUGCUUCAUUUAACUACAAACCCCCAAAUCUGGGAUCCCAUCAAAACUGAUGUUUGGCAAAAGUUUUGCAGCAAAACCCCCACAUUUUGUAACACCCCAUAAACAGAGUAAUUGAUACAUCAAACCGGGGUUCAUAAUUAAUAUCCAAAACCCAACAUUGUCCGAUUCACUCCAAACUGGUGCCAAAGUCUGGCAAAAGAUUUGUAGCAUUUUGCCAGACAUUGUAGCAUUUUUGUAGCAUUUUGCCCGACAAACCAAGUAACUGACAGGGGUCAUAAGGUCACCCCAAAACCCAACAUCGUUCACUCCAAAUCAAGGCCAAAGUCUGGCAAAAUGGACUUCCGGGUUAGUGCGAACAGCUAAUGGCGGAUUCUCUCCGAGCUCCGGAGGGAAUCGGCUCCGCUGGGGACGGGUCUUGCCGCGACGGCGACGCGGAGACCCUCAAAAACCGCAGGCGCGGAUGCCUGCGGACCUGGUGACUCGGUGGGCACCUUAAGCGCCCCCGACCCACGAAGAGCCUUUUAAAGGCUACGGAGAGGGUACGGAAGGCGGCGUGGUGCUGGGAGUAGACCGCUACCCCAGCGGAGCGGAGCCGUGUGCCAUGGCUGAAGAGCACUGACUUUUUUCCUUAAAUUCGAACUCGAAAAGAAGCAACCCGUGAGUAGAUUGGAAUUCGGACUUUAAAAUAUCUAUCUGUGAAUUUGAUACGACCGGGGAUGUGUUAAAGGGAAGUCCGCACCCCCCCCUUCUGCAGACGAUUUAAAGCAAUAGCAGGAGAACUAAGUUGGAGAGUCUACCCCUUUGGGGUGAGUUAAAAAGACAUUAACUUUCACGAUUUGAUAAAAGAAGUUUUGAGCUGGAGUGUAAGAGUGGAAUUUUAGAAGUUUUCUCUUGUGGUGUGUAACCCCCCCCUUCCGGGCCCGGGAGCGUCCUGCCUUUGAGCCUGUUGAAGAGGAAAGGAGUUUGACAGCUGUUAAAGCUGUCAAACGGGCAAUUUAAAGUAAAAAGCGUGUUAUUUAAGAUCUCCCUGGACUAAAUGUGAUACAAUUGAAUUAAAGUGGUUCGAAACAAAGAAACAAAGAACGAGGCAAAGGACUGUUGGGAAAAGAUUACUAAGUAACCAGAUUCCCUCUAGGGGGAAUUCUGAGACAUUACAAUGGCUGCGGAUGGAAAUUUACUAGCUGAAAUAGAAAGAAUGUGUUACUUUGUGGGAACUUUACAAGAGCAGAGUCUGGCUAUGAAUAAACAACUUACGACCUUGACUUCUGGAAUAAGCAGCUCUGCUGAAUGUAUUGAGGAUCUGAAUGAGAAAAAUCUGCAGCUGAACCGGAACAGAUAUCUCAAGAAUUGAAGGAGACUAAACAAGGAAAGGAGAAAGCACAGAUGGAAAGUACCAACCAGAAGCCUACACAUGUGGAUUAUAAACAAGAAGACCCUUGGAUUACAUGGAUUACAAAUCUGCAAAAGAUGCGAAAGAUGAAGGAGGAGGCCCCUGGAGUACUUGGAAUUCAAGAACUUAAAAGAAAGAAGAAAUAUGAUGGGGGCCUCCAUUCUGAAUAUGAAGGACUGGUGGAACUUUUGCAGCAGUUGUCUCUAAGUUUUCUUGUGGGAAGAAAAUCUGGCUUGACUGGGACAGAACUCCUUCGAGAUCCGAAGACCAACAUAAAGGACUACCAACAAAACCGGCGGAGAGGGACUGAAAGAGACUUGAAGGCCUCGGAUGUGAGAAAUCCAGGCUAAGAACUGUUAUUGUAGAAAUGUACUUGGGAAGGGACGAACCGGGGAUGGGAGGGGGGGAAAAUAGAAUUUUAAAAACACUUACGAUUUUUGGGUCUAGUCAAUAUGAUUGAUGCUUAAUAAAAAUGGGAAAUCGAUGGAAGGGAAUCUGAGCCCAACUUAGGAUAGAAUUUAAUCUUCUACAAAAGAUGUAAUAUUAACAGGGUAAGGAGGUAAAAUAAUAACUUGCUGACAUAAUUAUGGGAAUUGGGAUGUAUGAAGGGGGGGUUGGGGGAAGUCAAGGACCAAAGUUAAGAAAGUAAGAUUUUUGAAAUUAUACAUGUUUUUUGUCUUUGUCUUUUACGUGUGUGUUAUGUCUUUAUAAAAUGUGAAAAACCAAUUAAAAAAUUAUAAAAAAAAAAAAAACAAAGUCUGGCAAAAUGUUUGCAGUAAAAACCGCAUGUUUUGCAGUGCCCCCCAAACGGAGUGGUUCCUAGCACAUCAGGAGGAAGAGUCAAGACAACCAAAAGUGGAUAAAUAGGUUGUAUUUAUUAAAUAUAACAACUUGAGGAUCGGCAAAACUAGUCAGAUUCGACCAAUGUAACCAAAUCAAAUUAAGUCUGGGCAGGUGUGCUUGUUCACCUCCACCCACAAACACACAAGUGCUCAAACAGAGCUCUUUGCAGAUCCUUAAGAAUCAUGUCACAACCCAAAUCAGAAAGAUGCAUACCACCAGGUCUAUACAACUGUGGGGCACAGAACAUAAUUCUGCCAUGAGGGAUAUAAGCAGCCACAUUUUCAAACACAAACGUCGUUGUAGAAUGAUUAGCUUUAUGUCUUGCCCAUCCACCUUCUUAGGAAGGCUGCCCCCACUCCAUAAGCACCUCUACAACAUUCCAAACCAAACUAUGAUAAGCUCAGGGAUGAGGAAGCACAGCUGAUGGAGAUAUUUAGUGAUCUCAACUGAAUUUACCUCACCAGAUUGUUAUCCCCAAGAUGGAUGACCAGAAUAUCAGGGUUAGGGCAGGGGAUAGGUGGAUGUUCAGGGUUAGGGUUAGUGCCUGGGGUUUUUUUCAUGCUUUUUAAGCUUCUAAUGAUAUUGCUUCAUUUUUAUGAGACUGGAUAAUUCCAAAAAAUAAGCAAACUACCUGAAACGUAGCAAAACUAAGAGAAAUGUGAAAACCAAAAGUGAGAUACCAGAAACCCAACAAGGAAGGAAUUCAUGAAAAAGGAAAAUUGCCAGACAGAGACUUCAAUCAAAUCAUAUCCAAAUUCACCAGAAUCCCAAAACCAAUUGAAAAGAAGCAGAAAUGUGAGAAGCAGAAGAAAUACCACCAGAAACCCCCAACAAGAGGGAAAAGGUAAAUUGCGCAGAAACCCCAAAGCCAGUUAAACCUUAGUUUUGCAUGGUGUGGGGGUGAUUUCGCCUUUCCCUGAGAUGUUUACUGCGUGGGUUUCUUGUGGUUCUAUUCAAUUGGUUUUCUCAUCUUUGGUGGAUGUGGUUUGUUUCUGUUGUUUCUGGUUUGUUUUGGGGAUUAUGUUGAAUUUUUUCUGUGGUUUUCGUUUCAUAGAUUCUUUUAUAUAAAUUACGAUUGUGAAAUAUACUCAGAGUCUUGUAUGUAUUUCAUGCUCUUUAUUGCCCCCCCCCAACCUCAGGCUUUUAUAUACAUUAUUUACACAAUGAGUCCCGUCUGACUGGCUAACUCUGCUUCCCUCUUGGAGCCUGAUUGGCCUGCAGGAAAAGACCAAUCAGUUGUUGCAUUCUAGGGUCCAAGGUUAAUACAUAACAGAUUGGGUGCUGGAUUUAUGGUGAGUUUGCUUCAUUUCUAGGUUUUUUGGGUUUUGAACCUUUGAGAAUAUUAAUUUGUAUGAGAUCUGAUAAUCCCAAGAAAAAAAGGAAAACCACCAGAAAUGAAGCAAAACCACCAGAAAUGUCUAAUGACCAUUCCAACAAUGAAGUCAACCACUAAAAACACAAAAACCUACUGAAAAGAAGCAGAAGAACCAUGUAAAAGCAACAUCAAUGGAAACUGACAAAGAAGCCAACCAAUCCCAAACAAAGCAGAUUCACCAGAAACCCCCAAAGCAUUCAAAAGUAUUACCACCAGAAUGCAAAAACAAGAAAACUUCUCAAAAGAAGCAAUAAGGCAAAAGUCCAAAAACAAGCUAAACCAAUGGAAAAGAAAUGAAGCCAGCUGCAAACGAAGCACAUUCACCAGAAACCCAAGACUAUGUGAAAACUAGUAUGCUAUGUUGGUUAAUUUCUGUUGCUUGAAGUGCUUUUGGACUCCCAUAAAUUGCAUGCUUGUUGAGUUUCUGGUUUUGCUUUUUAAAAACUGGUUUCCAGUUUCUUGUGGCAUUGCUUUGUAAUUGGUGGCUUUACUGCUUCUUUUUUGUUUUCUGCUGAUUUGUUUAAUUUGGGGUGGUUUUGCUUGUUUUUUUGCAUUUAAUUGUUUUGCUUCUUUUACUUUGAAUGGUUCUGCGGUUUUGGGUGAGAUUGUUUCUUUUCCAUUGAUUUGGCUUGGUUUUCAUGUCUCCUGGUUUUGCCUCAUUUUGGGAAUAUUUCUUGGUUUUUGUGCUUCUGGUGGUAUUUCUUCAAUUUUAUGACAUAACCAAGCCAAAACACCAGAAACACAGAAACAAAUCAUAAAGAAGCAGAGCUACCAGAAAUCCAAAGCAAAUUAAUCAGAAAUCCAAACAACCUAUGAAGAUGAUGCAAUACCAAAAGAAACACAAAAGCCAAUUAAAAAACUGCUAAAUGAAGCAACACCACAAGAAACAAAGAAAGCCUCAUAACCUACGAAAUGAAGCAAUAACACAAAACACCACAAAAAGAAGCAAAGCGUUUAGGAUUAGGUUUGGGUAAAGGUUAGGGUUACAGUGAGAGUUGGGUUUGAGUUGGAUUAGGAUUAGGAGUUAGAGUUGGGGUUGAGUUACGGUAAGAGAAGAACAGCAGCAGAAGAAAUAUAAUUUUAUUACUUAGGGUUAGGGUUAAAUUAGGUUUAGGUUUAGACUGAGGCUUAGGUUUGGGUUAAGGUUAGGGUUAGAGUGAGGAUUAGGUUUGAGUUAGGGUGAGCAUUAGGAUUAAGGUUUGGUAUUGGGUUGGAUUUGAGUUAGGCUAAGAGAACAGCAGCAGGAGCAAUAUAAUUU